CCUACGGGAGGCAGCAGUGGGGAAUCUUGCGCAAUGGGCGAAAGCCUGACGCAGCCAUGCCGCGUGAAUGAUGAAGGUCUUAGGAUUGUAAAAUUCUUUCACCGAGGGCGAUAAUGACGGUACUCGGAGAAGAAGCCCCGGCUAACUUCGUGCCAGCAGCCGCGGUAAUACGAAGGGGGCUAGCGUUGCUCGGAAUUACUGGGCGUAAAGGGAGCGUAGGCGGAUAGUUUAGUCAGAGGUGAAAGCCCAGGGCUCAACCUUGGAAUUGCCUUUGAUACUGGCUAUCUUGAGUACGGAAGAGGUAUGUGGAACUCCGAGUGUAGAGGUGAAAUUCGUAGAUAUUCGGAAGAACACCAGUGGCGAAGGCGACAUACUGGUCCGUUACUGACGCUGAGGCUCGAAAGCGUGGGGAGCAAACAGGAUUAGAUACCCUGGUAGUCCACGCUGUAAACGAUGAGUGCUAGUUGUCGGCAUGCAUGCAUGUCGGUGACGCAGCUAACGCAUUAAGCACUCCGCCUGGGGAGUACGGUCGCAAGAUUAAAACUUAAAGGAAUUGACGG
rnacentral:rRNA from 1 species